UAAGUCACCCAUUUCUUUAUGCCGGGACACCCGAUCAACCAAAGGAAACUUGAACUGUCGAAGGUCACAAACAUGCGAGAUUGCAGACCCACGUUGCCUCGAUCGCCUGAUGUCAUGUCGGGUCACUGUGCAGUGAGAUUGUACAUGAGCAAACAGCCCUACAGUACUUAAUUUACCCAGGAGUAGACUACUUGUAGUUGAAGGUAGACUGAAGGCCAGACUUAGGCAGGAUGAUUGAACAAAAUCUGCUUGCAGAUGGACUACUGAGGCAAAAAAAUUGGACUCUCAGGAGGUGAACAGAUGUUCAGCAAGAAAUUCGCACAUCAAAUGCUGUGAAUUACACUGAUAUCCCCCCCCCCCAAAAAAAAAAGAACAGAGAGACCAAU